CCCUGGGUUUGGAGAAAGUGAACUCUCUGUACUCACAACUUUAGCUACCCUGCCUGUCUAUGAUGCAAUGGGCGGGGCUAGAGGAAAGGUGGCUGUGACCUGGGCUGACCUUCAUAAUCAGGGAAGCCUUGGGCCCUGUGUCUGCUGGUGUGGGCACAGACGUGGUGUGGCCAGGCGAGAAGUGAGCUCUGCCAGGCAGAUCACUGGGUGUGAACGAGUUCUCUGGGGAGUCACGGGAGGGUUGGCCUGGCCUGACUUGUUAGGGCUGCCAACACAGAGGCUUUGACCCUGAGAAGGAUCAGAAGACCCUGAAUGUAAAAGGGCUUGUCACACAAGUCUGAAAACCUGAGUUAGUUCUCAGGAGCUCUCAGAGCUGUCAGAAUCAACCAUUGCAACUCCCACUGAGCAGCAGCCAGGCUGAAAGAGCCACAGCCUGAGGGAAUUCUGUUCCUUCAGGCACCGACUCUCAAAACUCAGAAGAGAACCUAUCUAAAUCUCCGUCCCUCUAAAGAACUGAUUCAAAGGCUGAGGUGGAAUCCUGCUCCCCAGAGGGGCUGAAGAGCAAGCGGCUCACCUAGCUCACCUCCUCUCCCUCCUUGCAUCUCUCCAGAGCCCUCCUGCUUCUCCUCACCCUACUUUAAAACCCUUCCCCACCUGACUUCUCCCUACAACUUUCUGUCCGCCUCCUGACCGCAGGCGGAUUUUAUUUAAUCAGACACAUCUCUGCAUCAGUAAAUCAAUGUUCUAGCGCAGAAGCAAAAGUAGCACACCUCAGAAUCAUGUUCUCCAACACAGAACUAUGGAGUCUGGGCCUGGAAAGAGGGUUAGGACUGGGGCUCAGGGGUCGAGACUGCUCUCUCUGACAUGGCAACUAGUUGCCACGUUAACCUAGAGUUGGUUUCCUCCAGAAAUGGAUGAGUCUGACAUUCAGAUGUUAAUUCUAGAAACUGAGGCUGACAAAGCCAACCUUUUUGUAGGAUUUCCAAGAGAGAUAACUGAAUCUGAAGUCGAAAUGGUCCAUAAUGUGCUUUGAUCCGAUUCUCAAAAAUCCUGUAUACUGUCAAAAUGUCAAUUUCAAGUUUAAUUCUAGGACUCUUCUGUAUGGAGAUGAGGCAGGCAAGCACCGUUACAUCAGGACUGACGGGGGCAACACGGAAAGAGAGAGGAGACCAGGCUGUGCAGAGGAGAUGGCCCUUUCCUGGGACGGUGAAGGGCAGUGGGCUCUCGGCGGGAGUGGCUCAAGAGUUACAGGACAGAAAAACUUUGGGGGUGGAAGAUGCCAUCUGCAGGUCUGCUCCCUGUGGUCUCAAAGUGGUAAACACCAAGGGGGUUACUAUGUUGAUCUUUUGCCUGAAGCCUCCUGGAUUCUACAAGCCCAGGGUGUUGCCUCGAGUCAACUUUUGUGCCCAGGGUUUCUCAGCCCUCCUGAGGUUUUGGGGCUACUAGCCGUUUGAAUAUAAUAAUUAUCUUAGCAACCUGGGACUGCACUUGCCGAGGGAUAGAGAUUUCAUCCCUCGCGGAAAAGAAAGGUUUAUCAGCCUGCUAGCAACCCAGGCGCCACAGCCAACACUAACUGCGCUGGACCCUGCACUAAACUGGGCAACCGUUUCUCCUCUUAGCAUCUUCUAGACAAAUGGCAACUGUGUGCAAUGGGCUGAUCCAGCCUAGACUGGUUUCGGGUGGAUGCACAAUAAAGCAAAUUGUGUCCUCUUAAGUGACCAGUUCUGGAGAUUCCCUUGCCUGUGAUGAUAUUCCUGGGCACAAUUUUCAUGUACAUGGCAAAUUAUGGAACUGAAUCUUUCAACCAAAAUAGAACUUAACUCGAGGCCCCUUUAGCAACUGCAUUAGUGAGCGUUCUCUAGAGUCACAGAACUUAUGGAGUGAAUCUCUCACGCUUAUAUAUAUAAGGGAAUUUAUUGGAAUGGUUUGCAGACUGCAACCCAGCAAUGGCUAGCCGUGAAUGGAAAGUCAAGAAUCAAGAGUUGCUCCGUCCCAUGAGGCUGGGGUCUCAGCUGGUCUCCUGGACUGGAUGGAAUCCUGAAGAAGUAGGCUCCGAUGCCAGAGAAGGACUGGACGUGAUGACAGGUGAGGCCAGCAGGCAGAGAAUGAAUUUCCCCUCUUCCUUCUUUCAUGUCCAUUCCAGGAUGUUGGCCCACAUUAAAGGUGUGCCUUCCAACCUCAAGAUCUGGAUCAAAGGCAUGUUCAUGUCUUCUUGUUUCAAUGUCUGGAUCACAAGUAAGCCCUUCAUUUCUGGAUUAUCGUUCAUUCCAGAUAUAGUCAAGUUGACAACCAGGAAUAGCCAUCAGAGAAACCAAACUUCUCUGGAACCCCAUACAAGGAGGCUGCAAGUGACCAAAGAGGCCAAAAGGAGGUGUGGGACCCCCUGAGCUGCAGAUCCAGGUACUGAGGACCACUAGGCACGGGUAUUGAGAACUAAACUCAGGUCCUCUGAAAGAACAUCAGGUGCCCUUAACUCCGAGUCAUCUCUCCAGCUCUCCCCGCCCCCACAUUACUCUUGAUAGUGUGUUAGUCUCUAAUCAGCACUAUCACUUUGCUCUGAAUAAAGUACUUGUGCUACA